rnacentral:rRNA from 1 species
AGUGAACGCUGGCGGUAGGCCUAACACAUGCAAGUCGAACGGCAGCACAGUAAGAGCUUGCUCUUACGGGUGGCGAGUGGCGGACGGGUGAGGAAUACAUCGGAAUCUACUUUUUCGUGGGGGAUAACGUAGGGAAACUUACGCUAAUACCGCAUACGACCUACGGGUGAAAGCAGGGGAUCUUCGGACCUUGCGCGAUUGAAUGAGCCGAUGUCGGAUUAGCUAGUUGGCGGGGUAAAGGCCCACCAAGGCGACGAUCCGUAGCUGGUCUGAGAGGAUGAUCAGCCACACUGGAACUGAGACACGGUCCAGACUCCGACGGGAGGCAGCAGUGGGGAAUAUUGGACAAUGGGCGCAAGCCUGAUCCAGCCAUACCGCGAGGGUGAAGAAGGCCUGCGGGUUGUAAAGCCCUUUUGUUGGGAAAGAAAAGCAGCAGGUUAAUACCCCGCUGUUCUGACGGUACCCAAAGAAUAAGCACCGGCGAACUUCGG